AGAUGGUACCAUUUGAACAUGUUACAUAUUAUAUUAGCUCUUAAAUUAUAUAAAUAGAUGAAACUCCUUAUUAUUAAAGAUAUCAAGGUGACAAUUGAUCUAAGCUGGACCAACUUUUGAAACUUGGAGAGAAACCGGUUAAAGCUGUUACCUUAAAGGCCAUGUCCGUACACUCCAGUUGCUGAGGCCUCCAUGGACUGUGGGUUUGCGGAAAAGGUUCGCUGCUGCUUCCAGGCCUGUGCCCAGCUACGGUGAGGACUCUGGAGCUCUUCAGGAUCCAGCCCUCAGCCUGUCCCCAGGCUGCCCAGCUCAUCCACUGGCCCGGAGGCUGGGGGGCCUAGAGGGCCCCAGGGAGAAGGCCUUAAUCUGCACUCUCUGCCACAAGGACCACUGGGACACUGACUGUUGGCCACGCUCAAGGUCUCCUGAUAAGAAUUACAGACUAACGGCUGCAUGCUUGCUCCACUCCUAUUACAUAAGUACUCAAUAAAUACAUAUCUAUUGUUAUUGCAAUGCAGAAUGUCUGGUCAUCAUAGCUACCAAAAAAUUCCAAACAUUUAGCUGAUUUAAUCCCCAACUCUGGUCAAAAAAAACCCUUUUUGUGAGCCUUCAUUUCACAAGCUGAGACAUGAUUUAAUGGGCUUCCAAAGCGUGGAAGAGUUCCAAGCACAGGUGGUGGUGAGCAGCUGUUUUCCAUCUCCGCUGAGGACCAGCUGAGAGUCUUAAAGAGCCACAUGAGCAAUUUGGGUAUAAAGUACUAGGAAUACCUUCCUAAUGUUUGAGAGUGUGAAACUCUACAGUGAAACCUCAAGAGAAGCCAUGGAAUCCUCCUCUCUAGAGAUUCUUUAAAAAUGGGACACUGAAUCGGCUCUAAGUUGGAUAAAGACCAGAAAAGCAUCUCACAUUAAAAUAACAAGCAGUUUGCAUGGGUCAGUCAAGUUUGAGUUACACUGCUAUUGACCUAGUUCCCUUGAAGUACCAUUACCUAGAGAUACAUAUAAAAAGAAAGAGUACGGGAAGCAGAUUCCUCUACUAAGUGAGACUGCAAUGAAAAUUGUUGAACAUGCUCUAAAUCCUCAUUCACAAUAACUUUAAAUCUCAUUAAGAAAUCACUUCUGAAGGAUCUGAAUGAAUGGUACCUGGAUUAAGUACCUCAUGAGAGAAGGCACUGUUGGCGGUCAUGUUUGAGGCAAACUCAGGAAAGUACCUAACAUCCUAUUAUAUUCAGACCACACCAUACGCAAUUUCCAGCUUAAGAUGGCAAAAACAAGAGGGGAAAAGGCC
ensembl:lncRNA